rnacentral:rRNA from 1 species
UUCGACUGUUUACCAAAAACAUAGCUACCAGAAAACAUUAUAGAUAGUGUCGCCUGCUCAAUGAUUAACCAUAACAAACAAAAGAUAAUUCAAUAGCUGUGGUAACACUUAACCACACAAAGGUAGCACAAUAAAUGGCCUACUAAUUACAGGAUCGCAUGAAGGCACCACGAAGUUAAAACUGUCUCAAAACCCAACAGAUAAAAUAGAAUGUGUGUGUAAAUCCACACUAAAACGGCAAGACGAUAAGACCCUAAGAACUUUACCCAAGACUUUAACUAACAAACAGAAACGCAAUAAACACACACCCACUAUUAAAAAAAAUAAAGCCAUAAGUUCCGUUGGGGCAACGGUCUCAAAAAAGUAACUAAGACUAAACAAAUCAUCACCUAAAAAAUAAGAUACCUAAAUCUACACCCAUAAAAAAGAAGAUAAGACCUAUUAAACAGAAAAAAUUAAUAAACAAAAAAUAAAAGCUCCUUAGGGAUAACAGCGUAAUAUUGCUACAAAAGAAGUUUUUCAAGCAAUGUUUGCGACCUCGA